rnacentral:rRNA from 1 species
AACCCCGGCUAACUCCGUGCCAGCAGCCGCGGUAAUACGGAGGGGGUUAGCGUUGUUCGGAAUUACUGGGCGUAAAGCGUACGUAGGCGGAUUGGAAAGUUGGGGGUGAAAUCCCAGGGCUCAACCCUGGAACUGCCUCCAAAACUAACAGUCUAGAGUUCGAGAGAGGUGAGUGGAAUUCCGAGUGUAGAGGUGAAAUUCGUAGAUAUUCGGAGGAACACCAGUGGCGAAGGCGGCUCACUGGCUCGAUACUGACGCUGAGGUACGAAAGUGUGGGGAGCAAACAGGAUUAGAUACCCUGGUAGUCCACACCGUAAACGAUGAAUGCCAGACGUCGGGUAGCAUGCUAUUCGGUGUCACACCUAACGGAUUAAGCAUUCCGCCUGGGGAGUACGGUCGCAAGAUUAAAACUCAAAGGAAUUG